UUUCCGUAGGUGAACCUGCGGAAGGAUCAUUACUGAGUGAGGGCCCUCUGGGUCCAACCUCCCACCCGUGUUUAUUGUACCUUGUUGCUUCAGUGCGCCCGCCUCACGGCCGCCGGGGGGCUUCUGCCCCCGGGUCCGCGCGCACCGGAGACACCAUUGAACUCUGUCUGAAGAUUGCAGUCUGAGCAUAAACUAAAUAAGUUAAAACUUUCAACAACGGAUCUCUUGGUUCCG
rnacentral:misc_RNA from 1 species